AUUUGCUUCUGUACCUCAAAUCUGUAUGCUUCUGCUUCAGUCCAAAUGGUCUGGCCUAGGGCUUAUUUCUGUCAUGUAACUCAAUUGAUACAGAUUUAUUAAAGGGACACUACAAACAUGUAUUCCUGACACUAUAGUCCCUAUGUGGCUGUUAAGGUCCACGGCCCCACUUAGAUCGCUCUGAAAAGCUGAAUUUAAUCUUGGUCCUGC